UUACCGCGGCUGCUGGCACGGAGUUAGCCGGUGCUUCUUCUGCGAGUAACGUCACAGAUGUAAGGUAUUAACUUACACCCUUUCCUCCUCGCUGAAAGUGCUUUACAACCCGAAGGCCUUCUUCACACACGCGGCAUGGCUGCAUCAGGGUUUCCCCCAUUGUGCAAUAUUCCCCACUGCUGCCUCCCGUAGGAGUCUGGGCCGUGUCUCAGUCCCAGUGUGGCUGAUCAUCCUCUCAGACCAGCUAGGGAUCGUUGCCUAGGUGAGCCAUUACCUCACCUACUAGCUAAUCCCACCUGGGCUUAUCCAUCAGCGCAAGGCCCGAAGGUCCCCUGCUUUCCCCCGUAGGGCGCAUGCGGUAUUAGCAGUCGUUUCCAACUGUUAUCCCCCACAAAUGGGCAAAUUCCCAGGCAUUACUCACCCGUCCGCCGCUCGUCAUCUUCAAAAGCAAGCUUUUGAAAUGUUACCGCUCGACUUGCAUGUGUUAGGCCUGCCGCCAGCGUUCAAUCUGAGCCAUGAUCAAACUC
rnacentral:rRNA from 1 species